rnacentral:rRNA from 1 species
UGGGGAAUUUUCCGCAAUGGGCGAAAGCCUGACGGAGCAAGACCGCGUGAGGGAGGAAGGCUCUUGGGUUGUAAACCUCUUUUCUCUGGGAAGAAGCUCUGACGGUACCAGAGGAAUAAGCAUCGGCUAACUCCGUGCCAGCAGCCGCGGUAAUACGGAGGAUGCAAGCGUUAUCCGGAAUUAUUGGGCGUAAAGCGUCCGUAGGUGGUUGUUCAAGUCUGCUGUUAAAGCGUGCGGCUUAACCGCAUA